CCCUGCCAUUUGUACACACCGCCCGUCGCUACUACCGAUUGAAUGGCUUGGUGAGAUCUCCGGAUUGGCGUUGGGGAGCCGGCAACGGCACCCCUUGGCCGAGAAGCUGAUCAAACCUGGUCAUUUAG
rnacentral:rRNA from 1 species